UACGAAGGGGGCUAGCGUUGUUCGGAAUUACUGGGCGUAAAGCGCACGUAGGCGGAUUUGUUAGUCAGGGGUGAAAUCCCGGGGCUCAACCUCGGAACUGCCUUUGAUACUGCAAGUCUCGAGUCCGGAAGAGGUGGGUGGAAUUCCUAGUGUAGAGGUGAAAUUCGUAGAUAUUAGGAAGAACACCAGUGGCGAAGGCGGCCCACUGGUCCGGUACGGACGCUGAGGUGCGAAAGCGUGGGGAGCAAACAGG
rnacentral:rRNA from 1 species